GUAGGGAAUAUUGGGCAAUGGAAGCAAUUCUGACCCAGCCAUGCCGCGUGAAGGAAUACAGCCCUAUGGGUUUUAAACUUCUUUUAUUAUAGAGUAAACGGAGGUACGUGUACCUCCCUGCAAGUAUAUGAUGAAUAAGGAUCGGCUAACUCCGUGCCAGCAGCCGCGGUAAUACGGAGGAUCCAAGCGUUAUCCGGAUUUAUUGGGUUUAAAGGGUGCGCAGGCGGAUCAAUAAGUCAGGGGUGAAAAAUUUCAGCUUAACUGGAAUCGUGCCUUUGAUACUGUUGGACUAGAGUAUAAUUGACGUGACUGGAAUGUGAUGUGUAGCGGUGAAAUGCUUAGAUAUGUCACAGAACGCCAAUCGUGAAGACAGGUCACAAAAUUAUUACUGACGCUCAUGCACGAAAGCGUGGGGAUCAAACAGGAUUAGAAACCCUUGUAGUCC
rnacentral:rRNA from 1 species